AUUGAACGCUGGCGGCAGGCUUAACACAUGCAAGUCGAGCGAGCGGCGGACGGGUGAGUAAUGUCUGGGAAAAUGCCUGAUGGAGGGGGAUAACUACUGGAAACGGUAGCUAAUACCGCAUACCAUCAGAUGUGCCCAGAUGGGAUUAGCUCGUAGGUGGGGUAAUGGCUCACCUAGGCGACGAUCCCUAGCUGGUAUGAGAGGAUGACCAGGCACACUGGAACUUAGAAACGGUCCAGACUCUGACGUGAGGUAGCAGUGGGGAAUAUUGCACAAUGGGCGCAAGCCGGAUGCAGCCAUGCCGAGGGUGUGAAGAAGGCCUUCGGGUUGUAAAGCACUUUCAGCGAGGAGGCGUUACUCGCAGAAGAAGCACCGGCUAACUCCGUGCCAGCAGCCGCGGGAAUUC
rnacentral:rRNA from 1 species